AAAUUUAGCUAGAAUCGAUCUUGAUAAAUUUUAGGUUAAACAAAGGGCUCUGUGAUCAAGGCUAGUCGAUGUUACUUAGGUCAACCACAAAAAUGCGUCGCUAAACUACUGCAAGAGAGGUCCUCAAAAAAGUCAGAGAUGGAGUGGACAUGGACUCUUGAGUCAUAUCCAAGAAAUAGACCUCUAUAGUCUCCAACGUCUCUCAUCCUACCUCUGCCCCGAGGAAAGGAUAUGGAUCUGCAUAAUGUAAUCUGGUUCAAGGUGUACUGCAAGAUCUUACCAUACUAAGUGGCCUUUUGAUGUGAUUAUCUUAGCAAAGUUUGAACACCGACAUGAAAUAAGGGUUGCAAAGUAAAGAGCUGUUGCAUCUACAUGAACUGCAAAACUCAUGGCAUCUGGACUUUCAUACCUAAGGUCUUAUUCAUCUCUUCAAGUUGAAAAGAUUCUAGACUGCAGAGCCUGAAUUCCCUGCAACAUUAUGCUUCAUCUGGAACAUCAGCCAGCCUACAGAUACAAGCUCCCUUUCCAGCUCUAAGCAAGAGGGACUACAAUGCUAAACAGUUCGUGGACAUGUCGCUUUUUUCAACUACGACUUUACAUGAAACAGACUUUCAAAUUAAUUCAGCUAAAGCAAUUAAAAAUGCUUCAGUCAGGGUACCAUGGGUUUGCCAUCAGUUUGCCAUGAGUAUGAGAUUAUUGGUUUGAUAAGAAUUUAUUAAGUAAGGUCUAAAGGAACUAAGAUUUUCAAUGAUAAAUCCGAGAAUUGUAUUAUUUUAAAUAGAAUGUUAGAAUCUUGCAGAAGAAAGGACAAAAUACUAGCUUUAAUUGAAGGAUAAAACUAAAGUCAUUAUCCAUAUUAAGUUAGCUUUGCAAUUUAAGCCUGCACUUUCGAUAAAUAUCUUGUUAAGGGUUGUUGAUGCUUUUAAAAUCUAUAAUUCUGUCAUGGAGGUUUACUGUAUUUAAACUUGCAUUACAUAGACAAAUCCGUUCAUGGUGAUGAAUCUUAAAAUAUCAAAUCGGAAAUUUCAAAGGGGCAAAUUAAUCUGAGCAGCAGUGGAUAAAUUUGAGGGCCUAUUUGGAACUCUUCCUAGAGGUUUUGUUGGCAUGACCAUGUGUUGAUGAUUGCCUGUUAAAGCCUCAAUUGAAUAUUUUUAUCAUUUGCCUAAGAACAGCAUCACAAUAAACAACGGAAUAAUGUUACUGCAGUGAAAACAUUUUGUCAGGAAAUUAUAUCAACUCGGAUUUAUAUUGUCCUUAGAAAAUGUUCAAAUCUGAUAGAGAAAAUCUAUAAUUAACUUCAUAUAGACAAACUGGUGUAUCAUGAAAACACAUUUUCACAAACUGCAUGACCUCACAUGAGAAUGUGUAUAUGCCUUAUAGAUUAACAACCAUAUAGGUAAGACCAAUCUUUAGCACAAAUGUUAUUCCUUUAAUCUCCAUCAAAUUACACCGAGUAGACAGUGGCAUUUAUUAGCUGCAAUGGCUUACAACUGGCUGUAUGUCAUGAA